AUAUCCCACGCCUCUCCCCCUCCCUCCUUCUCUCGCCCCCGGCGUCUCCAGGCGGCAGCGGCCAUGGCGAUAGCGACCUCCGUGAAGGCGGCCCUCUUUUCCCGUCUCUUAACUUCCCCUCUCUCCUUCCGACCUCUUAAGAAGCCCGACCUCUGCAGAAGCGAACAGGGCGACGACACAGGCAGCACCCGCCGGCGCGGGCGGAGCCCGACAACACCCUCCAUUCCCCCCUCAACGCGCGAGCGGGCCCCUGCGCCACGGGUGCCGCGGCCGGCGCGCGAGCUCCUACCGUGGCCAGGCGCCUUGCGCGGCGGCGUGGCGCCCAGGCAAGGCCAGACCCUAGCGUGGUGGUGCGGCGGAGUGGCACCCAGGCGAGGCCUCCCCCACACGCGGCUGCAACCCGGCGCAGCGGCCACAGCCGCGGCCACGCCCCCACGGCUCCUUGUGUGCUUGCUUCUAUUUCCUUGAAGUUUUUCAUUUGGUGUUAGUUUUACUCUCACCAACAGAUCGGUUCUACCUCAAGCAAACCACUAAUAUGGCAGAUACUUCACAUUAAUUUUGCGUUGUUUACAAUUCUGCUAUUUAUUUGCUCGUGUGCCUACUAAUUAAAAUUAUUUUUACCAUUUUACAGGAAGUCAGGAACUCAACACACUAUAGUAAAGAUGGGCAGUAAUCAUGAAUUGAACAAAGAACUUAUACUCUGCAGUUAUUAAACUGGUAUAUCAUAUCUCCCUUUGCUUUCUUAAUUUAUUGUUUGUGUUGUUUUGCCCCUAUCAUUUCCAAGCCAAACUAAUUUUGGUAUUUGAAUAAUUCAUGAUGUUUAGAGCUGCACUAUUUACUUGCUUGUGUGCUAGCGAAUAGAAUUUAUUUUUCAGCAUUUCACAAGAGCUGAGUAAGGUACCCUUGUAUCAAGUUCUGAAAAAAAUAGGUGUUGUGUUCUGAAAAAUUAGGUGCUGUGUGCAAGUUCAUCCAUGUAAGUCAGGGAGAGUCCUGGCUUAACAAAUUUGCCAGUUUGUUUUAGUGCUCUUUAUGGUCACUAUUUCAAAUCAAGGACGUUGCACAUGCAAUCAACUAAUUUGUUUUACCGUGAAUUUAACAAGCUGCCAUUUGUAUCAUGUGCUAUUCAAUUGUGAUUAGCAGGUUUGUAACUAAUAUAUUUAGAUCUGAAAUAUGGUUUCGGGUGACAUGGAAAACAAUGUACAAGUCCUUCAGGUGUGGAGACAAAUUGGCUCCUAUCCAAGAGGAUAUAAGCAUCUUAGCAAGCAGAGUAGGUUCCAACUGGUACAAGAAAAUGGAUAACAUGUGAGAGAGCAAGAUACCCCAACAGCUAGAUGAUCUGUCCAUCCCACCUUGCUGCUGGAUCCCUCCCCUCACCAGAUCUCUGUGUAAUGCUAGAUGUGAGGCUUCCCUUACUUCAUCUUCAUUGUGGUAUGAGUAACCCAUCUGUUUUGGUAGGUUUCCUUGGUCUAUUAUUGUUUAUGCAUUUUAGCUUUUCUGGUCUCAGAUUCCUUUUUCAUGAUUUUCUGCUAAGUGUAUCGAUUUAUGAGCGAUUUGUGAGAAAAUAUACUCUGAUAGCAUUCGGGCAAUAUUGCGUAUAGAAACAGUUCGUACUACUCUUGCAGCACCUGUCCAAUCCAUGUUUACCAUAUCUCAGGUCAUAUUAUUAGCAGGUUGAUAGCUUCUCUUCUUUAUUUUUCCAAGCACUCUAUUCCCUUAUUUAAUAUUCUUUCAAACAAAUUUUCUCCUUAUAACCUAUGCUUGCCUGCGAACUGCUGCUCUUCCUUCCCUCCUCUCCCCUUCUGUAUUUCUUGGAAAAGGGAAAGUAGAACAGUUUGAGAAGCUAUUUAUAUAUAAAAUGAAAUAAUAUAAAUCUAUAGGCAAAUUUGUCUUAAUCUUGGUUUAUUUAUGCCAUAACUCAUUUUUUUAAUAUUUCCAUGGCUGAGUUCCAUCCCCUCUAUAUCAGUCUUAAUCUCCAAAAUGCCUCAUUUACCUGACUUAUUUUUUGCACCUUAUGAAUGUUGAACCUGACUGCCCUUUGGUCUAAAUCUAUUUUAUUUUCCUCCUACAUUGCCCUUUGGUCUAAAUCUACUUUAUUUUCCUCCUGCACUGAAUACUAUUUUACAUACUCAGAUAAGAGGCACCAAUGAUAAUUCUUACUAACCAUGGGGGUUCGGGAAGAUAAAUGCUCCAAUAGUGGAGCUGACAACGAUGUCUUACUCUACAACCUCUCUGGGUCAAGUUUGUGAUUGUUUCAUGCCCCCUAUUCUUAUGUGGUUUGAGUUUAAGACUGGCUUGCUCCGACAGCUCAAAAGAAAUGAUCUGCUAAUAGGCCAGGUGACAACUAUUUAUAAUCUCAAAUCAAAGUAAGAACUAUUAUUGUGCUUUAUUCCAAAUCCCAAAGGGGGAAUUUGUGGGUUGCCUUGGAUCUUUGCUUUGGAUUUUCUACGCAAUCCAUUCAGUAUCUUUGCUCUGAAUUUUGGAGUUUGGCCGGUCUCAGUACUAGUUACUAAAUUCAUGAUGUCACGGUAAGCCACCACAAUGAAUAUUCAUAGUUUAACUACGUUUUUGUAUGCAUAUAAAAAAUGUUUAUUCCUACAAAGUGCUAAGUAGAGUCAGUUCUACAUGAUCAAUCGGUAUAAAUAAUAUUUAUUCUUGCAAUGUUUUAUCCUUGCACUGGUAUUGAUAACUAAUUAGUGUUCAGUAUACCAGAUGAAGGUUCACUCUGAUGAUUCACAUUCAUCAGUAACAUUUUGGUUUUGUUACAAUACUUUGCUAUCUAAUUGGUUUGCCUUUUAUUUUUUGUAGGGUUCUCUUCGAACAAGACAAUAGAUUAUUGUUCAGCUGACAUGUCUGUGAGUUCAGAUAUCUGGAAACUGAAGUUGUGCUUCAGUUUGUUUCCUGGUGUCUUAGAAUUUAGGAUUUACACCAGGCAUCCAUUUUUUCUCUUUGCACAUAUGCCUUAUUGGCCUUCACAAAUUAGCUAGAUACAUUCAUUAUCUAUUUCGAUUCCAACUUUCACUAUUAAUUUAUAUGUUCAACUUUUUUUAGUAUCUGCAGUCAAUACAGUUAUUCUUGAUCGGUAAAUAUGUUCGUUCAAGUUAUUUUCCUUGAACUCCUAGGUUUUAAAGAUAAUUUUUUUGUUGCCAUUUUAUUGGGAUAUCUAUCCAUUGUGAAUGGUCCUCACCAUGCUAUUAUUUGAAUCAAAUUGUUGCCACCCAGUUGUGAAUGAAUGUGCAAUUGUGUACCUUUUUAAAGCUCCAUCUGUUCUGCCCGCUUUUACAUUACUAAUAGCAUAUCACUAUCACAUUACUACAAUCAUAUCUGUGAGGUUAUCAUUGUUACAUGACCUGCUCGCUACCUUGUGCUUGUAUACAAGUCAUAAUUGUCAGUUUAAAGCAUAUUUCAGCCACACCAGAAGUCAUAUUGAUGGAUUGACAACACAAAUAGUAUGAAUCUUAAGGUGUUUAGGUAUAACUGAUUUGCCAAUCCUUCCAUUCAGUUUUAUUUUUUUGUUUUGGAGGUCAGCUAAUUAGCACAUAGCAGCCAUCAGUUUGAACAUCCAUCUUUUGUACUGUUAUACUAAAUGAAAUUAUCACGGGAGGUAGCAAGAUGAGACACUAUAUGAUUUUUUAACUUCCCAAUUAUGUGCUUGGAAGAGAUGGCUACUCACAAUGCUGAAAACUGUGUAUGGAUUCAGUGUCAUUUGAAAGUCUAUACAGAUGAGGAGAAACAUUUUGAUGCUAUAACUGGCCUGAAGUAUGUAGCUAAAAUAGGGUCUCAUUCGAGAGUGAAAAUUUGUGAUAACAUUACAAUCAAGUUCUAUUGUUUUUAGAUCGAGAUCUCCUAGAUUUAGAAUUAAGAUUGCAUGUAUGAAAGCCAUUUACGUGGGUUGAUCCCUAGUACUGCAUAACUUGAUUUUUGCUUUAAGUGUCGAAGUUUUUUUUAUUGCAGUUGUGAUACAAAUAGUCUUUGUGGCGCUAAUUUAUGGUUCCUUGAUCUCCAUGCAACCAAAGCAUAGGAGAACCAUGGUGACAUGAUUAUUCACUGUGAGGGCACCCUUGACUCUCCAAACCCAAUCCCAAACCGAUAAAUAAUUGCAACUGGAUUUGAUCUGCUAUUCCUGUAUUUGGUUCCUGUUUUUUUUAAUAAUUUGUGAUUUUGAAAGUAUUUUAGUGUUGCGGAAAAGGUCUAAUUGCAAGCAGCACUGAAAAUUUAAAUUUGGUCUCCAUAUACUACACACUUGGUACCAGUCUACCACCGUACUUUGUACCAAGAAACUUUUCUUCGCUAUCGUUUAUUAAUUCCUUAUGUUCUUAGGAGAGCCACCCGCUGUUUCCUUACCAUGUCUGCCCUAUGUACUCCCAGCCUUAAAAGGAAUGCCAGGCUACUACUAAGAAAAAAUUAUCACUCCACCUGAUUUUUGUAUAUUACAUCGUAGCUUCAGUUACAUGUAACCUACUAUAGUUGUGUA